rnacentral:tRNA from 2 species
GCCGAGAUAGCCAAGGUGGUCAAGGCGGGCGCCUGAAGAGCGUCAAAUUUCAGUUCGACUCUGGAUCUCGGCA